UUGACCCCCAUCCUGCGUGAAGCAGUAAGGUUGACCUCGGAUCAGGUAGGGAUACCCGCUGAACUUAAGCAUAUCAAUA
rnacentral:rRNA from 1 species